CAGCAGCCGCGGGAAUACGUAGGGUGCAAGCGUUAAUCGGAAUUACUGGGCGUAAAGCGUGCGCAGGCGGUUAUAUAAGACAGAUGUGAAAUCCCCGGGCUCAACCUGGGAACUGCAUUUGUGACUGUAUAGCUAGAGUACGGCAGAGGGGGAUGGAAUUCCGCGUGUAGCAGUGAAAUGCGUAGAUAUGCGGAGGAACACCGAUGGCGAAGGCAAUCACCUGGGCCUGUACUGACGCUCAUGCACGAAAGCGUGGGGAGCAAACAGGAUUAGAUACCCGUGUAGUCCCUGUCUCUUAUAA
rnacentral:rRNA from 1 species